ACGAACGCUGGCGGCGUGCUUAACACAUGUAAGUCGAACGGAAAGGCCCUGCUUUUGUGGGGUGCUCGCGUGGCGAACGGGUGAGUAACACGUGAGUAACCUGCCCUUGACUUUGGGAUAACUUCAGGAAACUGGGGCUAAUACCGGAUAGGAGCUCCUGCUGCAUGGUGGGGGUUGGAAAGUUUCGGCGGUUGGGGAUGGACUCGCGGCUUAUCAGCUUGUUGGUGGGGUAGUGGCUUACCAAGGCUUUGACGGGUAGCCGGCCUGAGAGGGUGACCGGCCACAUUGGGACUGAGAUACGGCCCAGACUCCUACGGGAGGCAGCAGUGGGGAAUAUUGCACAAUGGGCGGAAGCCUGAUGCAGCAACGCCGCGUGCGGGAUGACGGCCUUCGGGUUGUAAACCGCUUUCGCCUGUGACGAAGCGUGAGUGACGGUAAUGGGUAAAGAAGCACCGGCUAACUACGUG
rnacentral:rRNA from 1 species